rnacentral:rRNA from 1 species
UACGUAGGGUGCGAGCGUUGUCCGGAAUUAUUGGGCGUAAAGAGCUUGUAGGCGGUUUGUCGCGUCUGCCGUGAAAUUUCGAGGCUCAACCUCGAACUUGCGGUGGGUACGGGCAGACUAGAGUGUGGUAGGGGAGACUGGAAUUCCUGGUGUAGCGGUGAAAUGCGCAGAUAUCAGGAGGAACACCGAUGGCGAAGGCAGGUCUCUGGGCCACUACUGACGCUGAGGAGCGAAAGCGUGGAGAGCGAACAGG